GUACUUGCUUCGACAGCACAUACACUAAAAUUGGAACGAUACAGAGAAUACUGGCACUGGCUCUGCGCAGGGUGGCACGAAAAAUAGUGAAGCGUUCCACAUUUUU